GCCUGGGUGGCUCAGUCGGUUAAGCAUCUGACUUCGGCUCAGGUCAUGACCUCGCGGUCCGUGACUCGCGGUCGGUGAGUUCGAGCCUCGCGUCGGGCU
rnacentral:tRNA from 1 species